AACCCAAAAGUAGUACUUACAGCGAGCAAGACACUAAGAGUGGACCCUCAAAGACGAACUGAGCGUAAAUACGCGUGUUGCUUAAAUGAAAAAAUGCGUUCGGCUCGGCUUUAUGCGUCUUUAUAGCCACUUCCUUAUCUGCCAAUAUCUCCAAACUUGCUACCAACUGCAACGCAGAGAGUAAGAAAUUAGCGCGUAAGCUCAGCAUUGCGCUCAGCCUGCCAACUGAAACGCUCUCCGCAAAUAAAUGCAAGUCUAUCUUGUUUACCUUUUUUCUUUUUUCACUCUAACUCUUCCAAUCUCCAAUAACAAUCGACGAACAUAAUAGCCAAGCAACAACCAUUCAAGCUUAAAAUGUCAAAGACCAGCUUUUUUACUGCUUUUUGCAACAGCAACUUGCAUCGCUAAGUUCAGCUCAACGGCAUUGGCAGAGCGCGCGGCGGCUGGUUGACUGCCUCGCUUUGGAAGACCGCUUAGAAUCCGCAUCAUCAACAGCGGCUCCGACAGUUGAGUACGUGAAUUUGAGCGCGCCGGUUGUGUGAGCUGCGCGCACGUUGAACGAAAAAGCGGAGGAUUAACUAGUAAACUAACGGCUCGUAUUAAAACCACGACGACGCAUAGUGACUAUGUAAAUAUAAAAGCAAAACAAGAGUUAAUAGUUUUUAGCGCUGCCUGUGCGCCGUUGACUUGGAAAACCUGAAUUACGAGCUUAAAAGAAUACGAAAAAGAAAGCAAAAAAGACAAUAAUAAUAUCAUAAAAAAGUUGCUAUUAAUCAUAUCACUGUUUUGCAACAACAACUGCACGAAAA